CGGGCGGAAGCUUUACAAGCCGGUGCGCCGCGCUGAUUUCUUUCCCUUCUGCUACAGCAACCUGCAGGGUGCCGUGCGGUGGCCGAGUGGGAAGGUCUCUCACCAGACUGCCAUCCAGGUGGCAGCUAGGGCUGUGGUCUCAUCUGAAGGCUCCAUCAGACGCAAGCUGGGGAGGCAGAGAGCGGACGGACAGAGGAUCCGAAGGAGACUCCGCACUGCCAGCAGCGAGCCCAGUGUGGGGCUUGAACUCACGAACCUCGAGAUCGUGACCUGAGCAGAAGUCUGACGCUCGACCACAGAAACCACCCAGAACUGGUGUCCUUAUAAGAACAGGAAGAGAGACCAGAGAUCUCUUGCUCACUCUUCACACACACAGAGGCAUGGCCAGGUGAGGACGCGGCGAGAAGGCAGCCGUCUGCCAGCCGGGAAGAAAGCCCUCAGCGGGAACGGAAUCUGCCAGCGCCUUGACCUUGGACUUCCAGCCUCCAGAACUGAAAGGAGACCUCACCCAGGGACUUAGUGCCUCUCUGAUGCUGGUUGAGCCGGGCCAAGAUGGACCAGUCGCUGGAAGCCUGGAAGAUGUGCUCCAGGUACGGUCCAGAUGUGUCCCAGGUGGGCCACCCGGAUGGGCACGGGUAAACCUCCACGGGUAGGAGCUUGCUGCCACCCCCUCGUCGAUCUUCACGUAUCUGUUGGUCGAUAGCCUUUUCUCUUGGCCGGGAGGGGCCCUCGCUCCGAGCCGUUUCAUUGACUCGGUUCUUGACCCAAAACAGAGGAGGUGACAAGGAACGGGAGGAAACAAGGCCCCGAGAGGCAAAGUCACUUGCUCAGGGUCUCCCAGCAAAAAGUGGAUUCAAACCCAGACUGCUCCGUCUUCAGAGCUUUAACAAGCGCCACUGAGCUGCGUGUCUGAGGCCACCUCUGUGCCCCACCCGCUCCACUAGCCCCCCCCCCCA